rnacentral:rRNA from 1 species
GACGAACGCUGGCGGCGUGCUUAACACAUGCAAGUCGAACGGAAAGACCCUGCUUUUGUGCGGUUCUCGAGUGCCGAACGGGUGUGUGUCACGUGAGUAUCCUGCCCUUGACUUUGGGAUAACUUCACGUAACUGGGGCUAAUACCGGAUAGGAUCUCCUGCUGCAUGGUGGGCGUUGGAAAGUUUCGGCUUUUGGGGAUGGACUCGCGGCUUAUCAGCUUGUUUGUGUGGUAGUGGCUUACCAAGGGUUUGACGGGUAGCCUGCCUGAGAGGGUGAACGGCGACAAUGGGACUGAGGGAGGGAGCAGAAUCGUACGGGAGGCAGUAGGGGGGAGUAUGGCAGAACGAGCGGAAGCGUGAUGCAGAAACGCCGCGUGCGGGAUGACGGCUUAUGGGGUGUAAACAGCUGUCGCAUGUGACGAAGCGUGAGUGACGGUAAUGGAUAAAGAAGCACCGGCUAACUACGUG